rnacentral:misc_RNA from 1 species
GAAAUGCGAUACGUAGUGUGAAUUGCAGAAUUCCGUGAAUCAUCGAAUCUUUGAACGCACAUUGCGCCCCUUGGUAUUCCAUGGGGCAUGCCUGUUCGAGCGUCAUUUGUACCCUCAAGCUCUGCUUGGUGUUGGGUGUUUGUCCCGUCUCCGCGCGUGGACUCGCCCCAAAGUGAUUGGCAGCCGGCGUACUGGUCCCGGAGCGCAGCACAUGUCGCGCAAACGAGUGCCUUGGUACGGCGGCGUCCAUAAGCCCCUCUCUCACGCUCUUGACCUCGGAUCAGGUAGGGAUACCCGCUGAACUUAAGC